AGCUCACUCUCUCACACAACCACACCAACACCCACCCAACCACACACAGUUCUAGCAGGACAAUGCUGUUUAAAUUCACUCUGCAUCCUCUCAUCUUCCAAACAGAACUGAUGUUCAAUCAGUGAUGUCAGAUGACAACCAUUUUUCACUGAAAAAAUCAUGAAUUUAUUCCACAAAAAUAACAUUUUUACACUAACAGUAACUGACACCCCAACAGGUGCCUUUACACAGUUUAGGAAAACUUGUAGACAUUCUGGUCUGUGAUUUUCACACCUAAACUACAGAUGCAGUUUUCUCCAUUUACACCAUUUAUCAACAAUGUGUAACAUUUUCUUUUCUAGUUUCUCAUGAUUUCAGCAGUCUCCUGUCUGAAGAUCUGCUGCUGUGUUCAAUCUGUGUGUAUGUGUUAACUGAUCCAGUCACCACUCCAUGUGGACACAACUUCUGUAACAGCUGCCUUACAUGGUGCUGGGACAAGAGUCAACACUGUCUCUGUCCAUUAUGUAAUCUGAAAUUCACCAAGAGACCUGAACUGAAGAUUAAUACAACACUGAGAGAGGUUGCAGAUUACUUCAAGAAGAAAAGAGUUUCCACAGAACUGAAGAGGAUUCAGCAGUAUGCAGGUACAGUGAGCUUUCUGAUUUCCUCUCAUAUUAAAAUGUACAUAUCAGCAUUACACCACUGCAUCAUCAGACUUAUUGAACAUGAUAAACGAUUGAUUUCUUUGA